GAAAGCCCAGUUAUAUUUAAAUUUCAGAUAAAUGAUGAAAUUUUUUUUUAGUGUAAGUAUGUCCCAUGGAAUAUUUGGGACAUACUUACACUAGAAAUUAUUUGUCAUUGAUUUGAAAUGUAAAUUUCACUGGGUGUC
rnacentral:miRNA from 1 species